rnacentral:rRNA from 1 species
UGGGGAAUUUUGGACAAUGGGCGAAAGCCUGAUCCAGCAAUGCCGCGUGUGUGAAGAAGGCCUUCGGGUUGUAAAGCACUUUUGUCCGGAAAGAAAUCCUUGGCUCUAAUACAGUCGGGGGAUGACGGUACCGGAAGAAUAAGCACCGGCUAACUACGUGCCAGCAGCCGCGGUAAUACGUAGGGUGCAAGCGUUAAUCGGAAUUACUGGGCGUAAAGCGUGCGCAGGGCGGUUUGCUAAGACCGAUGUGAAAUCCCCGGGCUCAACCUGGGAACUGCAUUGGUGACUGGCAGGCUAGAGUAUGGCAGAGGGGGGUAGAAUUCCACGUGUAGCAGUGAAAUGCGUAGAGAUGUGGAGGAAUACCGAUGGCGAAGGCAGCCCCCUGGGCCAAUACUGACGCUCAUGCACGAAAGCGUGGGGAGCAAACAGGAUUAGAUACCCUGGUAGUCCACGCCCUAAACGAUGUCAACUAGUUGUUGGGGAUUCAUUUCCUUAGUAACGUAGCUAACGCGUGAAGUUGACCGCCUGGGGAGUACGGUCGCAAGAUUAAAACUCAAAUGAAUUGACGGGGUCAUAGCUGUUUCCU